rnacentral:rRNA from 1 species
CCGUUUUCUACCUUUGUCUAUGCGUACCACACGUUUCCUCGGGGGGCUUGCCCCCCGUUAGGACAUUUAUCAACCUUUUUUGUAAUAGCAGUCAGCGUCUGAAAUAAUUUAAUUAUUAAAACUUUCAACAACGGAUCUCUUGGUUCUGGCAUCGAUGAAGAACGCAGCAAAAUGCGAUAAGUAGUGUGAAUUGCAGAAUUCAGUGAAUCAUCGAAUCUUUGAACGCACAUUGCGCCCCUUGGUAUUCCAUGGGGCAUGCCUGUUCGAGCGUCAUUUGAACCCUCAAGCUUUGCUUGGUGUUGGGUGUUUGUCCUGCCAUUGCGUGUGGACUCGCCUUAAAGUAAUUGGCAGCCUGGUAAUUCGGCUUUGAGCGCAGCAAAUCGCGUACUCUCAGCUGGUGCUUUGGCAUCCAAAAGACCUUUUUUUUACUCUUGACCUCGGAUCAGGUAGGGAUACCCGCUGAACUUAAGCAUAUCAAAAGUCGGAGGAA